rnacentral:rRNA from 1 species
GCUUUGAGAUGGACCCGCGGCGCAUUAGCUAGUUGGUAAGGUAACGGCUUACCAAGGCAACGAUGCGUAGCCGACCUGAGAGGGUGAUCGGCCACAUUGGAACUGAGACACGGUCCAGACUCCUACGGGAGGCAGCAGUGGGGAAUAUUGCGCAAUGGGGGAAACCCUGACGCAGCAACGCCGCGUGGGUGAUGAAGGUCUUCGGAUUGUAAAGCCCUGUUUUCUAGGACGAUAAUGACGGUACUAGAGGAGGAAGCCACGGCUAACUACGUGCCAGCAGCCGCGGUAAUACGUAGGUGGCGAGCGUUGUCCGGAUUUACUGGGCGUAAAGGGUGCGUAGGCGGAUGUUUAAGUGGGAUGUGAAAUCCCCGGGCUUAACCUGGGGGCUGCAUUCCAAACUGGAUAUCUAGAGUGCAGGAGAGGAAAGCGGAAUUCCUAGUGUAGCGGUGAAAUGCGUAGAGAUUAGGAAGAACACCAGUGGCGAAGGCGGCUUUCUGGACUGUAACUGACGCUGAGGCACGAAAGCGUGGGUAGCAAACAGGAUUAGAUACCCUGGUAGUCCACGCCGUAAACGAUGGAUACUAGGUGUAGGGGGUAUCAACUCCCCCUGUGCCGCAGUUAACACAAUAAGUAUCCCGCCUGGGGAGUACGGUCGCAAGAUUAAAACUCAAAGGAAUUGACGGGGGCCCGCACAAGCAGCGGAGCAUGUGGUUUAAUUCGAAGCAACGCGAAGAACCUUACCUGGACUUGACAUCCCUUGCAUAGCCUAGAGAUAGGUGAAGCCCUUCGGGGCAAGGAGACAGGUGGUGCAUGGUUGUCGUCAGCUCGUGUCGUGAGAUGUUAGGUUAAGUCCUGCAACGAGCGCAACCCUUGUUAUUAGUUGCUACCAUUAAGUUGAGCACUCUAAUGAGACUGCCUGGGUAACCAGGAGGAAGGUGGGGAUGACGUCAAAUCAUCAUGCCCCUUAUGUCCAGGGCUACACACGUGCUACAAUGGUAGGUACAAUAAGACGCAAGACCGUGAGGUGGAGCAAAACUUAUAAAACCUAUCUCAGUUCGGAUUGUAGGCUGCAACUCGCCUACAUGAAGCUGGAGUUGCUAGUAAUCGCGAAUCAGAAUGUCGCGGUGAAUACGUUCCCGGGCCUUGUACACACCGCCCGUCACACCAUGAGAGCUGGUAACACCCGAAGUCCGUGAGGUAACCGUAAGGAGCCAGCGGCCGAAGGUGGGAUUAGUGAUUGGGGUGAAGUCGUAACAAGGUAGCCGUAGGAGAACCUGCGGCUGGAUCACCUCCUUUCUA